rnacentral:rRNA from 1 species
UACAGAGACUGCAAGCGUUAUUCGGAUUCACUGGGCGUAAAGGGUGCGCAGGCGGCCAAGUGUGUGAGGCGUGAAAGCCCGGGGCUUAACCUCGGAAUUGCACCUCAAACUACAUGGCUAGAGCAUUGGAGAGGCUAGUGGAAUUCCGGGUGGAGCGGUGAAAUGCGUAGAUAUCCGGAGGAACACCAGGGGCGAAAGCGGCUAGCUGGCCAAGUUCUGACACUGAGGCGCGAAGGCGUGGGGAGCAAACCGG